rnacentral:rRNA from 1 species
UACGUAGGGUGCAAGCGUUGUCCGGAAUUAUUGGGCGUAAAGAGCUCGUAGGCGGCUUGUCGCGUCGGAUGUGAAAGCCCGGGGCUUAACUCCGGGUCUGCAUUCGAUACGGGCAGGCUAGAGUUCGGUAGGGGAGAUCGGAAUUCCUGGUGUAGCGGUGAAAUGCGCAGAUAUCAGGAGGAACACCGGUGGCGAAGGCGGAUCUCUGGGCCGAUGCUGACGCUGAGGAGCGAAAGCGUGGGGAGCGAACAGG